UCCGGUUUGUCACCGGCAGUCUCGCAUGAGUCCCCAACUAAAUGCUGGCAACAUGCGACGGGGGUUGCGCUCGUUGCGGCACUUAAGCCAACACCUCACGACACGAGCUGACGACAGCCAUGCAGCACCUGUGCUAGCGUCCCGAAGGAGGGCCCUGCUUUCACAAGGCUUUCCCUAGCAUGUCAAGUCCAGGUAAGGUUCUUCGCGUUGCUUCGAAUUAGACCACAUGCUCCACCGC
rnacentral:misc_RNA from 1 species